AAAAAACCUGAAGAUGAACACAUCUCUUCUUCUGCUAUGCUGGAUCUGGUCUCACCAAAACUUCAGUGUGAGUUGGAGGCACUGUGAUCUCUCUGGAAGGGUUGGGAACAUUUUCAGUUAUUAUCACUUCAAAAUAACUUCUCUGCCCCUUUGUCUCUCUCUUCUU